CCAAAGGCUCUUUUCAGAGCCACCCAAAUUUCUCUGAAAACAGCUGU
rfam:Mustela putorius furo unplaced genomic scaffold scaffold00400, whole genome shotgun sequence.